AUGGACAAUCACCACCCAGUUCUUAAUAUUUUACUCAGCAAGUAUAAAACUUUUCAUAACAAAUUAUCAAACAGGAAACACAUAAUUUUACUACCAGAAGCAAAAACGUUACUAAAUAUAAACAUCGAUAUAAAUUUCAUAAAGAAACAUAUAUUUUUAAAAAGCCCUUUAAAAAACAUUUAUAUAAAUUUAGUUGAUCAGUGCAUUGAAAUUGAUUCUAAGUAUAUUUAUACGGAUUACGGUUUUGAAAUAAGUAGAAUCUGUGAAAUUAUAAAAAUUGAUACAAACUUUAAUUAUAAUUUUUUAAAAAUAAUUUUUAUAAACAUACCAUUAGAAGGAGAUUAUGAAGGUAAUGACACAUUUCUAAAUUGUAAUAAAGAUAUUGGUCAAGAUUUUUUAGAAAAUAUAAAUGAUUUAAAUUUAUUUUUUAAUAAUAAUGAACAGUGUAAUGAAUUCUUAUAUCUACAAAUUCUACAAUUUACCCAUUCAUAUAUAAUUGUUAAAGGUUGUGAAAGUUAUAUAGGUAAAAAAAUUGCAACAAUAAUAGACGAUACAUUAAAAUUACAAAAUAAUACAAACGAAAAAUUGUUUAAAAAUGAUAUAAGGUUGUCAUUAAUUAAAUAUACUUAUUCACAUUUGUAUAAUUUAAUAUGGAAAAAAUUAAGUAAAAAUUACAAAAAUAUGGAACUGAAAAUUCAAGAAAAAAUGAGCUAUAUUAAAAAAGACAUAAACGCAUUUUUGAACAAAUUUAAUAUUGAAUAUAUCAGCUUGUUAAAUAUAGAAACAAUUUCUUUUCAUAUAAAACAGAUUGAAAAAUGUAUUAACCCAAUUGACAAAAUUGAUAUUUUAGACACUGUGAGUAAAAUAAUAUGUGAAAUAAUAUCAUGUACCAACCAAGAUUUAAAGCAACGAAAUUUAUCUAUUUAUGAUAUAACUAGUGAUACUUUAAUAUCCAUUUUUGUUGCUGCAAUUUCUUAUGGGCAAAUACAAAACAUAAUAAGUCAUUCUAUUCAUUUACAUAUGUAUAUAGAUAAUUUAACAAUUUCUGAAAAAAUUGAUAAACUAUCUUUUAUAUUUACAAUAUUUCAUUCAUCAAUUAUUUACCUUUGUGAUGUAAAAAUUGCAUAAUUUUUUUUUGGAAGAGGACGCUACUCUUUAUUUAUAUAUCAGUUGUGCACUCACAAUUGCUGUCUUUUUUUUUUUUUUUAUGUUCUUUUGUUUUAACUUUAUACAAGAAUUAUCAUUCUUUUUAUUUUUUUUUAAAACAUAUAUAUAUAUAUAUAUAUAUAUAUAUUAGUAAUAUUUAAUUUUUAGUUCCAUUUGUUUUAACCAUGUUAAUGAAACAUGUUUAUUAUUAGUGUUAAAAACGCAUACAUAUAAAUAAACAAAUAAACAUAUGCA
rnacentral:lncRNA from 1 species